rnacentral:sRNA from 1 species
UAUGAUUAAGCAAAUAAGUCGAUCGGAAUCAUAAAUGACAGGUAGUUCCCAUAGAAGUGCUUCGGAAUUUAGAUUCCAGCGUUUUAUGGGGUUUUUUUAUGGGAUUGAUGGACUAUUUGUAAUUUUCCACGCACGUCGUGCAAGUUUUUUAGGAGGAAUCAUAUUAUGCAAAACGGUACAGUAAAAUGGUUCAACGCAGAAAAAGGUUAUGGCUUCAUUCAAGUUGAAGGCGGAAAUGACGUUUUCGUUCACUUCUCUGCUAUUCAAGAAGAAGGCUUCAAGUCUCUUGAAGAAGGACAAGAAGUAUCUUUUGAAAUCGUAGAAGGCGACCGUGGCCCUCAAGCGGCUAACGUUGUAAAACAAUAAAUUAGAAAGCGGCAACCGUUUAUGGUUGCCGCUUUUUU